GACGAACGCUGGCGGCGUGCUUAACACAUGCAAGUCGAACGAAGAGCGAUGGAAGCUUGCUUCUAUCAAUCUUAGUGGCGCACGGGUGAGUAACGCGUAAUCAACCUGCCCUUCAGAGGGGGACAACAGUUGGAAACGACUGCUAAUACCGCAUACGAUCUAAUCUCGGCAUCGAGGAUAGAUGAAAGGUGGCCUCUACAUGUAAGCUAUCACUGAAGGAGGGGAUUGCGUCUGAUUAGCUAGUUGGAGGGGUAACGGCCCACCAAGGCGAUGAUCAGUAGCCGGUCUGAGAGGAUGAACGGCCACAUUGGGACUGAGACACGGCCCAGACUCCUACGGGAGGCAGCAGUGGGGAAUCUUCCGCAAUGGACGAAAGUCUGACGGAGCAACGCCGCGUGAGCGAUGACGGCCUUCGGGUUGUAAAGCUCUGUUAAUCGGGACGAAAGGCCUUCUUGCGAAUAGUGAGAAGGAUUGACGGUACCGGAAGAGAAAGCCACGGCUAACUACGUG
rnacentral:rRNA from 1 species